UUCAGUAUCAUAAUCAAUGUUGCCAAACUGCAAGGCAUGAUGUGCAGUACUGCGCUUCACCUAUGCUAGUAGAGAAGGUGGAUGCAUGAAAUGAAAUCAAAGUGAAGAAGCACCUUGUGAGUAACGUGAAGGAUGGGAAGAAUGACAGCAAGGUUUCUACAAAAAUGUUGGUGAGAAUUCUGCUGAGAUUGUAGAUGCCUCCAGUGAUCAUGUACACUGUAUUUGUGGAUGCCUCAACUAAUACAAAGAUGCCAGGGGUUUGAUGGAGGAAAGUGGGUAUAUUUUGCAAUCCAGUCUGUGAUGUUCUCUCAUUUGAAGAGAAGCUAAAGGAACAUAAUGAAUUACAAACAUCAUGUCUCCUCCUUGAAGAAUGAAGCAGCCUCACUCAGUGUUUUUCUGCUUGGCUGAAGACAUAGGGGAGUAUAUAUUCCCAGUGCGUGCUAGUGGCUGAAGGCAGAAGUUACAGUUUGCGCAGAACUAAACUAAUGAAAAUACAACUGUAACCAUUCUUGCAAUGGAUAGCAUGAAAAUCAGUAGGAGUUACAGUAGCAGUACAAGUCUUAUCCUUGAAUGAAUGAAUGAAAGAAAGAAAAAAAUAAUUAUGAUAAUAUUUCAAUUAACAUAGCACCUUUAAACCCCAAUCACCGACUAGGACCCCAUUGUGUUAGGUGCUGUAAACAUAGAACGAAAAACAGCCUCUAUCCCAAAGAGCUUACAGUCUAACUAUGGAUUAAACUCACCUUCUUUUACUGAUCCAAGUGUUGCCAUAGUCUCCUCGUUUUUAUAGCACUGUAACAGUACCCUUGAGAUCAGUUGUUGCCUCACCCUUUUAGAGGUUAAUGUUUGUACUGAUGUCCAGUUGACCUGACAGCCCCAGAAUCUGGCUACACAGAACUAAAACUACAAAGCUCUAUCUUGUGGGGAGCCUUGGGGUGGAUGGCAAGGACACUCACACCGAGGACAAAGUAAAUCCUUAGAUAUCUUUAUUAGAACAAUGGACAAAGACAGAAAAGCUCCAAGCCUCAUCAAAAGAUAAGAGGAAUACAGUACUGAGGCUCUCUGUGGUUUCAUUCUUUGCAUAAGCUCUUAGAUCUGCAUACUCACACCCUUCCUUGAGGACCUGGUAAGAAAAGACAAAGGACCUCCCCUGUCUCUGGCAUACCAGUCAUUCGAAUGGCCCAAGUUCCUCAAUGAGUUGAAGGGUCAGAUGGUAGAAAGUGCACAGCAAAAAAUGGAGACCUGGAAAAAAGCCUCAUCCAUAUGGUGGGUGGUCCUAUUAUAGUGCCUGAGCUACUGUCCAACCCACCAUGCCCAAAUCUAGCUUCCUCACUCACAUAAUGUUGAGAUGUACUUAUUCUGUAGGUUAAUGUAUAGAUAUGUCUAUAUACCAUCUUAGCUCAUUGUCAUGCCUGUCACCUCUUGCUUACACAGAAUUGUGGCUAUUACAUCCAUGUUCCUUGCAGUAGCAUUUACUGGUAAAUUGUAACUCCUACCAAUUGAGCAAACUAUCCAUAGUUCCUAAAAUCUAAAGGUAACCGUUAAACCAUUUAUCUAUGCCAAAGGUUACAGACCCACUUAAGCACACUUAUGCAAACUAUGCUAACUUCCUUAAGCUAAAAGUUUUACAGGCCUGCAGUUUCCUUGCAUUACAGCUGAAUAUAAUGAAGGCAAAAUAUAAUAAAGGCAAGGCAGUAAAUAUAAUAAAAGCAAGCUAGUCCUAUGGGCUACACAGUUGAUUUACAGACAUGAGUAAGAUUAGCCCACAUUAGGAAGUAAUUAUAAAAGAAAGGGAAAACAACAAAGUAAUAUUUAACUAAAACAUUAUUUAGCAGAGUUUCUUUCCUCAAAGCCCCUUCCUCUUCCUUUGCCUUCAGUCAUAAUAGUAUGGUUGAGGUCCUGAUCAAGAUCAUGGCAUCAUUGUGCUAUGCCCUAUUUAGAAAAAGAAUAAGAGUGAUUCCCUGCCCCAAAGAGAUUAGUGUAAGUAGAGGAAAAAAAAGACAAAGGUUGGGAGAAAGGAAAUAAUAUCUCCAUUUUACUGAUGGGGGAUUGAGGCACAUAGAAAGCAAAGAACCUCCUCAAGAUCCAGUGCCCCAAUCACAAGACUAUCCUUCCUGGGAUUGCUUGAAUAAGAAGGUGUGAUUGGGUCCACUGUUGUUCUUGUUAGGCAGACAUUUG